AACGAACGCUGGCGGCAGGCUUAACACAUGCAAGUCGAGCGCCCCGCAAGGGGAGCGGCAGACGGGUGAGUAACGCGUGGGAAUCUACCCAUCCCUACGGAAUAGCUCCGGGAAACUCGUGCUAAUACCGUAUGUGCCCUACGGGGGAAAGAUUUAUCGGUAAAGGAUCGGCCCGCGUUGGAUUAGCUAGUUGGUGGGGUAAAGGCCUACCAAGGCGACGAUCCAUAGCUGGUCUGAGAGGAUGAUCAGCCACAUUGGGACUGAGACACGGCCCAAACUCCUACGGGAGGCAGCAGUGGGGAAUAUUGGACAAUGGGCGCAAGCCUGAUCCAGCCAUGCCGCGUGAGUGAUGAAGGUCUUAGGAUUGUAAAGCUCUUUCACCGAUGAAGAUAAUGACGGUAGUCGGAGAAGAAGCCCCGGCUAACUUCGUGCCAGCAGCCGCCGUAACAC
rnacentral:rRNA from 1 species